rnacentral:rRNA from 1 species
UGCCCUGGUAUCUGGGAUAACAUCUCGAAAGGGGUGCUAAUACCGGAUAAGCCUACGGUCUCUUCGGAGUCUGCAGGAAAAGGUGGCCUCUAUUUAUAAGCUACCGUAUCAGGAUGAGUCCGCGUACCAUUAGCUAGUUGGUGGGGUAAUGGCCCACCAAGGCUACGAUGGUUAGCUGGUCUGAGAGGAUGAUCAGCCACACUGGAACGGAGACACGGUCCAGACUCCUACGGGAGGCAGCAGUUUUUUCUUUUUCUUUUCGGGGGAAACCCUGACGCAGCAACGCCGCGUGAGUGAUGAAGGCUUUCGGGUCG